rnacentral:rRNA from 1 species
AGAGCGUACGGUGGAUGCCUUGGCACCAGGAGCCGAUGAAGGACGUAGGAGGCUGCGAUAAGCCUCGGGGAGCUGUCAACCGAGCUGUGAUCCGAGGAUGUCCGAAUGGGGAAACCCAGCACGAGUGAUGUCGUGUUACCCGCGCCUGAAUAUAUAGGGCGUGUGGAGGGAACGUGGGGAAGUGAAACAUCUCAGUACCCACAGGAAGAGAAAACAACCGUGAUUCCGUGAGUAGUGGCGAGCGAAAGCGGAAGAGGCUAAACCAUGGGUGUGUGAUAGCCGGCAGGUGUUGCAUUCGUGGGGUUGUGGGGUUCAUUUUGUCUGUUCUGCCGAGCAGGCCAACAGUAAGAAAUCACAGGGUUAGUGGAAGUGGUCUGGAACGGCCUGUCGUAGAGGGUGAGAAUCCCGUACACGAAAACUUUGUGACUGUUGUAAUGGAAACCCAAGUAGCACCGGGCCCGUGAAAUCUGGUGUGAAUCUGUCGGGACCACCCGAUAAGCCUGAAUACUCCCUGGUGACCGAUAGCGGACUAGUACCGUGAGGGAAAGGUGAAAAGUACCCCGGGAGGGGAGUGAAAUAGUACCUGAAACCGUGCGCUUACAAUCCGUCAGAGCCUUCGAACAGUUUACUGUUGGGGGUGAUGGCGUGCCUUUUGAAGAAUGAGCCUGCGAGUUAGUGGCAUGUCGCGAGGUUAACCCGUGUGGGGUAGCCGUAGCGAAAGCGAGUCCGAAUAGGGCGAUCGUAGUGGCAUGCUCUAGACCCGAAGCGGAGUGAUCUACCCAUGGCCAGGUUGAAGCGACGGUAAGACGUCGUGGAGGACCGAACCCACUUAGGUUGAAAACUGAGGGGAUGAGUUGUGGGUAGGGGUGAAAGGCCAAUCAAACUCCGUGAUAGCUGGUUCUCCCCGAAAUGCAUUUAGGUGCAGCGUCGCGUGUUUCUCACCGGAGGUAGAGCUACUGGAUGGUCUAGGGGGCCCACAAGCUUACCGAAAUCAGCCAAACUCCGAAUGCCGGUGAGUGAGAGCGCGGCAGUGAGACUGCGGGCGAUAAGGUUCGUAGUCGAGAGGGAAACAGCCCAGAUCGCCAGCUAAGGUCCCUAAGCGUGUACUAAGUGGAAAAGGAUGUGGGGUCGCGAAGACAACCAGGAGGUUGGCUUAGAAGCAGCCACCCUUGAAAGAGUGCGUAAUAGCUCACUGGUCAAGUGAUCCUGCGCCGACAAUGUAGCGGGGCUCAAGUACACCACCGAAGCUGCGGCAUUCACGCAAUAGCCCCCAGUUGAUCCAAGGAUUUUCUGGCAGGUGUGUGGAUGGGUAGGGGAGCGUCGUGUGGCCAUGGAAGCGGCAGGGUGACCUAGCCGUGGAGGCCACACGAGUGAGAAUGCAGGCAUGAGUAGCGAAAGACGAGUGAGAAACUCGUCCGCCGAAUGACCAAGGGUUCCUGGGCCAGGUUAAUCCGCCCAGGGUGAGUCGGGACCUAAGACGAGGCCGACAGGCGUAGCCGAUGGACAACGGGUUGAUAUUCCCGUACCCGUGUGAACGCGCCCAUGGUGAAUCAGUGAUACUAACCAUCCUGAAGCCACGAGAAGACCUUCGGGUCUCGAGUUGGUGGAUGCAUGGGACCUGAUCUGGUAGUAGCCAAGCGAUGGGGUGACGCAGGAAGGUAGCUGAGCCAGUCAGUGGUAAUACUGGUGUAAGCGUGUAGGGCGUGACCUAGGCAAAUCCGGGUCACACAUAGCCUGAGACGUGAUGCGUAGCCGAUUGAGGCGAAUUCAGUGAUCCUAUGCUGCCGAGAAAAGCCUCUAGCGAGCUUUCACACGGCCCGUACCCCAAACCGACACAGGUGGUCAGGUAGAGAAUACUAAGGCGAUCGAGAUAACUAUGGUUAAGGAACUCGGCAAAAUGCCCCCGUAACUUCGGGAGAAGGGGGGCCCUGUUUGGUGACGACAUUUACUGUCUGAGCUGGGUGGGGCCGCAGAGACCAGUGAGAAGCGACUGUUUACUAAAAACACAGGUCCGUGCGAAGUCGUAAGACGAUGUAUACGGACUGACGCCUGCCCGGUGCUGGAAGGUUAAGAGGACCGGUUAGUUCUUCGGAGCGAAGCUGAGAAUUUAAGCCCCAGUAAACGGCGGUGGUAACUAUAACCAUCCUAAGGUAGCGAAAUUCCUUGUCGGGUAAGUUCCGACCUGCACGAAUGGCGUAACGACUUCUCAGCUGUCUCAACCGUAGACUCGGCGAAAUUGCAUUACGAGUAAAGAUGCUCGUUACGCGCGGCAGGACGAAAAGACCCCGGGACCUUCACUACAGCUUGGUAUUGGUGUUCGGUUCGGUUUGUGUAGGAUAGGUGGGAGACUGUGAAACGGUGACGCCAGUUAUCGUGGAGUCGUUGUUGAAAUACCACUCUGAUCGAAUUGGACCUCUAACCUCGGACCAUGAUCUGGUUCAGGGACAGUGCCUGGUGGGUAGUUUAACUGGGGCGGUUGCCUCCCAAAAUGUAACGGAGGCGCCCAAAGGUUCCCUCAGCCUGGUUGGCAAUCAGGUGUCGAGUGCAAGUGCACAAGGGAGCUUGACUGUGAGACUGACAGGUCGAGCAGGGACGAAAGUCGGGACUAGUGAUCCGGCACCGGCAAGUGGAAGCGGUGUCGCUCAACGGAUAAAAGGUACCCCGGGGAUAACAGGCUGAUCUUCCCCAAGAGUCCAUAUCGACGGGAUGGUUUGGCACCUCGAUGUCGGCUCGUCGCAUCCUGGGGCUGGAGUAGGUCCCAAGGGUUGGGCUGUUCGCCCAUUAAAGCGGCACGCGAGCUGGGUUUAGAACGUCGUGAGACAGUUCGGUCUCUAUCCGCCGCGCGCGUUAGAAACUUGAGGAAGGCUGUCCCUAGUACGAGAGGACCGGGACGGACGAACCUCUGGUGUGCCAGUUGUUCCGCCAGGAGCACCGCUGGUUAGCUACGUUCGGAAGGGAUAACCGCUGAAAGCAUCUAAGCGGGAAGCCUGUUCCAAGAUGAGGUUUCU